CCCGUUUGAGUGUCGUGAAAUCAUCAAAACCUUUUUCUCUUUGAUCCCAAAUUUAUUUUGGUCGGGAAAAGGAUUUUGGACUUGGAGGUUCCAUGCUCGCUUUCUUUUGAAAGCGCGAGCUCCUCUCAAAUGAAUCAGUGGGGUCCGCUUUGCCGAUCCUUGACGUGAUAAGAUGCUUCUACGUUUUGGAUUUGGCACUGUCCCUUGGAUGCCUGCUUCUAACCGUCCCAUGGACAAUGAUGGUGCUCCGGUCAACCGCCGUCUACGUUGGCGGGGGGAGGCUGGACCCACAAGAAGAAAACCUUGACCUCAAA
rnacentral:misc_RNA from 1 species